rnacentral:rRNA from 1 species
CAGUAGACGUGUGAAUCAUCGAAUCUUUGAACGCACUUUGCACCUCGUGGCUCCUGUCACGAGGUAUACUUGUUUGAGUAUCCGUAACCUGCUCACCUCUCCCUCGGGGCGGUGGACUCUGGAAUUCGAGUCGCUUGCGAGUCGUCUUCUAAAAAGUAUGGCUAACCGUGGAAGGUCUCCGCAGAGACUUGACCGACCAUUUGGAUAAUGUCCUACAAUUGUCGCGUUAAGUCAACUACUGUGUUGACCUACCUGGCCACCCCGACCAAGCAGAUAUCAGUAAAUGGUUUCUGUGCGGUCAACUUAAUACUAACUGGAUCUCAAAUCAAGUAAGGAUACCCGCUGAACUUAAGCAUAUCAAUAAGCGGAGG